rnacentral:rRNA from 1 species
AUUGAACGCUGGCGGCAGGCUUAACACAUGCAAGUCGAGCGGGGGAAAGUACUUCGGUACUGGACCUAGCGGCGGACGGGUGAGUAAUGCUUAGGAAUCUGCCAUUUAGUGGGGGAUAACAUUCCGAAAGGAAUGCUAAUACCGCAUACGUCCUACGGGAGAAAGCAGGGGAUCUUCGGACCUUGCGCUAAAUGAUGAGCCUAAGUCGGAUGAGCUAGUUGGUGGGGUAAAGGCCUACCAAGGCGACGACCUGUAGCGGGUCUGAGAGGAUGAUCCGCCACACUGGGACUGAGACACGGCCCAGACUCCUACGGGAGGCAGCAGUGGGGAAUAUUGGACAAUGGGCGGAAGCCUGAUCCGGCCAUGCCGCGUGUGUGAAGAAGGCCUUAUGGUUGUAAAGCACUUUAAGCGAGGAGGAGGCUCUUCUGGUUAAUACCCAGGAUGAGUGGACGUUACUCGCAGAAUAAGCACCGGCUAACUCUGUGCCAGCCGCCGCAGUAAAAC